rnacentral:rRNA from 1 species
AGUGAACGCUGGCGGUAGGCCUAACACAUGCAAGUCGAACGGCAGCACAGUAAGAGCUUGCUCUUACGGGUGGCGAGUGGCGGACGGGUGAGGAAUACAUCGGAAUCUACUUUUUCGUGGGGGAUAACGUAGGGAAACUUACGCUAAUACCGCAUACGACCUACGGGUGAAAGCAGGGGAUCUUCGGACCUUGCGCGAUUGAAUGAGCCGAUGUCGGAUUAGCUAGUUGGCGGGGUAAAGGCCCACCAAGGCGACGAUCCGUAGCUGGUCUGAGAGGAUGAUCAGCCACAUUGGAACUGAGACACGGUCCAGACUCCUACGGGAGGCAGCAGUGGGAAAUAUUAGACAAUGGGCGCAAGCCUGAUCCAGCCAUACCGCGUGGGUGAAGAAGGCCUUCGGGUUGUAAAGCCCUUUUGUUGGGAAAGAAAAGCAGCAGGUUAAUACCCCGCUGUUCUGACGGUACCCAAAGAAUAAGCACCGGCUAACUUCGUG